GGGGCCGUAGCUCAGUUGGGAGAGCGCCUGGUUUGCAACCAGGAGGUCGAGGGUUCGAGUCCCUUCGGCUCCA
rnacentral:tRNA from 1 species